rnacentral:lncRNA from 1 species
GGCCAAACUUAAUCAUUUCUAACUUUCUAUUUAAAGUGAGAGAUGUGUGACUCUGCCUUUCAGUUGAACACUUAAAGGCUAUUGUAGGGUUAUUAAUUGGCCUAAUUUCAAUAUUGUUUGUCUCAGGGAAUUGAGGAGGCCCAAGGAGAGGGAGAGAUGGGGGAACGGCCAGUUGAUGGAGCAGUCAGAACACAUAUUUUUAUCAGUUAAAUUUGCUGUCUUAUAUGGGCACUGUUUGUGGUGCCCCCAAACAAUUCGAAUAGUAACAUGAAAGAUCACUGAGCACAGGUCACCUCAGCGAUAUAAUAAUAAGAAAGAGUUUGAAAUAUUGUGAGAAUUCUGAAAAUGUGGCACAGAGACUCAAAGUGAGCACAUGCCGCUGGAAAAACGGUGCUGAUAGACUUGCUCGAUACACAGUUGCCACAGACCUUCAAUUUAAAAAAAAAAAUGCAAUAUCUGAAGUACAAUUGAGUGAAGAUAAAUAAAACAAGGUAUGCUGCUGACACGGCCCUGCCCUCAUGGAGCCUGCUGACAUCAACAAACCACACGUCAACAAAUUCACAGCACAUUGUGGGGUGCAGGGCUGUGGAGUGAAGCCAGCCUGGGCAGGGGGCCUGGGAGGUGAGGGAGGAUGCUGGGGCUGCCCCUGUAAAUGACCCCAUGCUUCUACACCAUAGAGAGAGCACGUUGUGUUACGUGACUGAUAAGUACAUAGAGGAGUGGGAAGAGAGCAGGGCUGGCCCUCACGGCUGGCCUUGUGUCCCACUGAACAGGGACGAUCUCACAAACACCAACUCAGACAAGAGCAUGCAUGAUGGCACCAGAUCAAGACCAAAAUAAGACCACUCUGCCUGCAAUUUUGUCUGCUCAGACCAAAGCAAGAAGAUUGAAACAAAAAAAUGAUCCCUCAUCGCCUAUCCUGGCUGAUGUCAGUGAUGGCUGCUUUUCUGCCAACAGUGGCUUUAGCCUCACACGGUUCUUUUAGCCUUUUAGGUGAGAAUUAUUAAGAUAGCCAAGCACAGAAUCAUCCCCUUCUUCCUGACAGCAUCCUGGAUCCUCCCCUGAAUCACCCAACUCAAGCCCAGACAUUAUAAGUCCUUUUUGAUAUUAUUGAGACCUCCUCAUGGUUACCUGUGGUUUAUGGUUUCAUGAAACGAGUAAAAAACCUCAAUUUUGUUUGGCUAUAAGUGUGCUCCUGGUGGUCUUUGGCUAGAGAAUGUUGACAAUGGAAAAGUAAUAAAAAUUAAAUGAUUUGAGCAGAAAUAAUAGUUUAGUUUAAUAUCCUCUGUUUUUAGAAACUUGAGGAGAGAUUCUCUCCCUCUAUUCUCUACACUGGAGGACUUUGGUAAGCAAAAGGCCUUGAUGACCAUAAGGAGAACUUUGGAAAUCAAAGCUUAGUUACGGUUUCAGUGGACAAGAAAGUUUUCUCACCUGAAAAAUCAAAUUCCCCUGUGAAUUGUUAGGUCCUCUGAUGCACUACGCAGAAUUUACUUAGUUUGGUGAUUAGACUGGAAGUGGAAUAGAAGUGUGAAGGAUACUGUCUUAGUUUGCUGGGGCUACCAUAACAAGCUAACCAACAAACUAACCGACUGAGAGGCUUCAAUGACAGAAAAGAAAUUUUUUCCAGCCUCCAGAGCUGUGAGAACUAACUUUACAUUGUUGGAGCUGUCUGUGGUACUUUGUGAUGGCAGCCUACACAAACACACACACCAGCCCUUGAAUCCAGGCUGGCCUGGGGCCUCGCUGUGACCUGGAGACGGCGGUGGAAGUGCCUCGAGACACGCUGACGCUUCCACUCUUGCCCUCCUGCUGCCCUGAGAUGCCUUGUGAAUUCUCCCGGGCAGACCCCCCCGGGGGAUGAGGCCACGUGGAGAGGGAGGCCCCGCUGUCAGCCAGCACCAGCCUCCAGAUGGCCGGGCCAGGUCAUCUUAGACAACUGGGGCCACAUGAGUGACCCUGGGCCACAGCAACCCCAACUGCUCACCCACAGAUAUAAUCAUGAACCAAUUAAACGGUUGUUGUCUUAAGCCAAUAUAUUUUGGUGGGGAUGGGGGGUUCUUACACAGCCAUGGAUAACUAGACGUUAAAUUUGGGCUGGAAACUAAAUAAAAUAAAUAAAAAUCAGAUAAAACUAAAUACAGAGCCCAUGCACCAGGCUAAAAGGAUUUCCCAAAAUUCAUUCAUUCAGUAAAUGCCAUUUGGGUGCCCACCAAGGCCAGGCGCUGUUCUAGGCACUUGGGAUACAUCAGUGAGCAAAACAGACAGAGCUCUCUGCUUUCAUAGUAACCCCGAUACACAUAGUAAAAAGUAAAACGUGGUAAGUGAGAUGGGAGAACAUUCUAAACAGGGUAAGAGGAAAUACAGGGGUAAAAGACGGCAGGC